AACGAACGCUGGCGGCAUGCCUAACACAUGCAAGUCGAACGAGACCUUCGGGUCUAGUGGCGCACGGGUGCGUAACGCGUGGGAACCUGCCCUUAGGUUCGGAAUAACUCCCCGAAAGGGGUGCUAAUACCGGAUAAUGUCUUCGGACGAAAAAUUUAUUGCCUUUGGAUGGGCCCGCGUUGGAUUCGCUAGUUGGGAGGGUAAAAGCUUACCAAGGCGACGAUCCAUAGCUGGUCUGAGAGGAUGAUCAGCCACACUGGGACUGAGACACGGCCCAGACUCCUACGGGAUGCAGCAGUGGGGAAUAUUGGACAAUGGGCGAAAGCAUGAUCCAGCAAUGCCGCGUGAGUGAUGAAGGCCUUAGGGUUGUAAAGCUCUUUUACCCGGGAUGAUAAUGACAGUACCGGGAGAAUAAGCUCCGGCUAACUCCGUG
rnacentral:rRNA from 1 species